rnacentral:rRNA from 1 species
AGGCAGCAGUAAGGAAUUUUGCGCAAUGGCCGCAAGGCUGACGCAGCAACGCCGCGUGGGUGAAGAAGGCCUUCGGGUCGUAAAGCCCUGUCAGGUGGGAAGAACGACACGGGGAGGAAUAUGCUCUGUGAGUGACGGUACCACCAGAGGAAGCACCGGCUAACUCCGUGCCAGCAGCCGCAGUAAUACGGAGGGUGCGAGCGUUAUUCGGAAUUACUGGGCGUAAAGCGCGUGUAGGCGGCCAACCAAGUCUGAUGUGAAAGCCCUGGGCUUAACUGGGAAGUGCAUUGGAAACUGGCUGGCUUGAGUACUGGAGAGGAAGGGGGAAUUCCCGGUGUAGAGGUGAAAUUCGUAGAGAUCGGGAGGAAUACCAGUGGCGAAGGCGCCCUUCUGGACGGUUACUGACGCUGAGACGCGAAAGCGUGGGGAGCAAACAGGAUUAGAUACCCCGGUAG